GUAAAAGCUUUGCCAAAUGAGGGAUAUUCUUCAAAAUGAUAGAUCUCACACUGCCUGCGAAGUAAAAUGAUUUCAGCCUAGGAGCAUUAAUUUCGAUGAGGUUGCUGUAAGUCUCGGCAAUAUACAACACCAAAUGCUCGAGCAACAAGCAAUGAGAGAUCAAACUUCCCAGAUCCUCGGAAGAAAUUGAAACUUCACAUAGUUCCAACCUAAUUAACCUAUCAAGUCCUUUGAAGGUCGGUGGACGAACUAUUGAGCAAUUCUGGAGAUUCAAAUUCUUCAAGUGCAAGCUUUUGAAAAAUGAAGGUGGCAAUUCAUAUGGUUCACUCUUGAAUGGAAGUUUAAGCACAAGAUCCCGAAUGCCAUUUUUCGCAAGGAAAUAUAUCAAGUCAUCGAUCAUAGGACAACUUCUCGACUUGGGAACACAGAGAGUAAAC
rnacentral:misc_RNA from 1 species